rnacentral:tRNA from 1 species
GCGGGGAUGCCGGAGUGGUCAAACGGGUCGCGCUCAAGACGCGAUAGCUUAGUGCUUUCCUAGGUUCGAAUCCUGGUUCCCGCA